rnacentral:tRNA from 1 species
GGUGAGGUGUCUGAGUGGCUUAAGGAGCAUGUCUGGAAAACAUGUAUAUGGAAAACUACUGUAUCGAGGGUUCGAAUCCCUCUCUCACCG